UACGUAGGGUGCGAGCGUUGUCCGGAAUUAUUGGGCGUAAAGGGCUCGUAGGCGGUUUGUCGCGUCGGGAGUGAAAACCCAGGGCUUAACUCUGGGCUGGCUUUCGAUACGGGCAGACUAGAGGUAUGCAGGGGAGAACGGAAUUCCUGGUGUAGCGGUGAAAUGCGCAGAUAUCAGGAGGAACACCUGGGGCGAAGGCGGCCAGCUGGGCCGUCCCUGACGCUGAGGCGCGAAGGCGUGGGGAGCGAACGGG
rnacentral:rRNA from 1 species